CGGGCUGUGUCUCCACAGGCACCACGGGGACUGUGCUUGCUGGUCAGCCUGAGAGGGACAGAGGUCCCUGUCUCAAGGGUCCCUUUCUCAUUUCUCUACUCACUGUCCUCAGUCUUUCCUCUUCUUCUUUUACUUCCUUCUCUUCUUCCUCACUCCUUUCCCUCCUUCCUCCUCCCUCCUCCUCUCCCCUCCCUUUUCCCAUCUUUUUCCCCUUCUUUCUCUCCCUGUGUGUCUCUGUGUCUGUCUCUCUCCCCUUUCUUCUUCCUCUUUCCCCUCUGCUCCAGUUAAUUAUUACCUCAGGAGAACACAGAAAUCUCAAGUCCAAAGUGCUGCUAGCCCCGCUACCAUCUGCAGCACCUACUUAGAAUUCCACAGCCCCCAGCCAAGGCUCCAGCUCCAUACAGACUGAGGCCUCUCAGGAACCAAAGGCUUAUGACUCAGAGGUAACAGAACCACAUAUUUAGUGCACGGCAGGCUAACACGCCAUGCUCACUCUUGGAACUCAAACAGGCCUGGCUCUAUCACUCACCAGUAUGAAUGUCCACCUGCUGAUACAACUGAGGGGUGGUGCCCCCAGACACGUGGGUGGAGCCUGAAGUCCAGUGUGACUGUCUGUCAGGACUGAACCCUCGUAGCUAAGCUUGCCAACUUCAUUGGAUUCAGAACUACCAUGAAAACACAUCUCUUGGUACGUCUAUGAGGGAUGCUUCCAGAAAGAGUCAACUGAAGAGCAGAGGUCUGCUCUGCAUGUGGGCGCUCAUCUCAUGGGCUGGGACCCACAUGGAAUAAAAACAUCAGCAGUCACCUCCCUCUGCUCUCCGAGUGGGACACUUGCCAAGCGCCUCACGCUCCUGUCGCUGUGCCUGAAAGCUCUGAGCCCAAAGAAACUCCAUCCUUUAAGUUGCUUUCCUCAGCUGUUCUGUCACAGCGAUGAGAGCAGCCACCAAUACAAGCCUUCAAGGAGACAGUUACAGGUUGAGCAGGGCCUAAUCUAAUAUAACCAUGUCUACCCCUAGAAGAAGAGAGAUGCAGGGUAUGUGGUCAAGUGGAAGGCCACACAGAGUGAAAGACGCCAUCUCUAAGACAGACAGACACACACACACACACACACACACACACACACACACACACACAGAUACAGAGAGAGAGAGAGAGGCUGUGGGCUUCCAGUCUCUAAAACAGAACAGUAAGACAAUGACUCUCUUGUCUGUUAAAGCAGCUCUGGCCAGCAAAUACACUCUCCAAAUCAACAGCCUCUAUUUCUCCAUUGUGAAAUGCCCACUGGACCAACUCAUGGGGUCCUGACAAAGAAAAGUGAAACCUCACAGGUGACACGGGCCUGCCUGGCACGUCCUGAAACAUCGUCUGGUACUCCAGGUGUCCACCGAGAACCGAGGAACCUCUCUGGAAGGCCAAGGAGCUGGUGGUGCUUUGGGCAGCCUGGAGAGAGCGUCUGCUGACUCUUCGGGGUGAGGACCACAUUCCCGUCCUCUUUGUAUUCAGGACUCAGAAAGGGAGAGAUCACGGCCAGGAAACCAAAGAUGGACAGAUUCUGGCCCUUAAUUGUUACCUUCUCUUUUAGUUACUUUUCUCACCACCAUGACAAAACACCUGUCUAAAGAAGCUAGCUCAAGGGAAGAAGGGCUUAUUUUGGCUCACAGUUCGAGUGUGCAGUCCGUCACACUGGAGGAGGGCACGGUGGCAGGAGCUCUUGGCUGCUGGUUACACGCCAGGAAGCAGAGCUGUGUGCUCAUGUUAGCUGCUUGCUCCCUUUUAUGGAGUCUCAUGGUGCUGCUGCCUUGCUUUUAUGUCAUUCUGUGAGAUGGUAUCGCCCAGAUUUAGGUGGGCACAUGUCCCAACUAACCAAGUCUAGAAGUUCCAGAUGCUUGUCUCCUGGGCAAUUCUCUGUCAGGUCGGUGGUGUUAACCAUCACCCUAUGGGAAGGUCAGGGAGCAUCCCCUGCCCCGCCCCGAUCUGUCCCUGUGCUCUCUGCACCACUGUCACAAGCAUCAGGCCACAGACCAGAGCGUUUACUGCGUGGGAAGCCCAUAUGAUUAGGCCAAGCCCAAACACCCAGAGAGCUAAAACCAACAAAGGCAAGGAGCAAGGGCCCCUGAGUGAAGACCCCAUCCAUGCAGUAGAUUCGCCUGCUCACAGUGCUCAGAAAACUCACCAACUUUGGAGGCACACUUAGCCCCACUCAUUUUGGUAACAGCCUGUUGCACGGAUCAUGGUAAGAGCUGUCUGGGUGUCUUCUCAGGAACUUUCAAAGCCCCGUUAGACACUGAAGAGACUGGAGGGAUAAAUAACUGAAGACUGACUAGUCUGUCUUUAUAUCACUCUGUGCCCUUUGGUGUCUCAGCCUCCAUCAGGUUCCACUCUGUCCCGUGCACAGAUCUACCCAACUUUUGAGAAACAUUUUGACUGAGGCUAUAACUUAGGGCUCGCCAAACUCAAGACGUUUGUGCAUCCGAGGGGAAGACUGCUUAAAAUCACGUGCAUCGAUUAAGCAUUGUUCAUUGAUGAGGAAAUGGCAGGCGCCUCCUCCUCCCCCGAGCGGAUGAAGGCUUGCCGUGUCCUGCGUUGGCAGUCUGGUUACCUCUGCUCAGCGCUGAGGUCCCAAGGAAGAUGCUUUGCCUUUGCUGAUCAUGUGUGUGACUUGGCUUUAUUCCCAUUGUUCCUGUGUCACAGUCCUGCCGCCUGCUGUCUGGGUGGCCUCGGUGUCAGGCUCCAUCCUGAGUGGGGCAUGACUUUUAGGACCAGGGUUUUAAGCAGUGGGCAUGCUCGCUCUUGCAGCUUUUCCUUUGUUAUGGUAUGGUGUAUGUGUUUGUGGGGGUUCGGUGAAGAGGGGAAGGAAGCUGUGUCCUGGACAGUGUGGGGCCUGCGUUCUGUCUAGGAGUAAGAAAGAGCAGGGCUGUGAUUGGCCAUUACACUUUUUGCCUCUGCUAUCGAGUCUACCUCUAAUUUUACAGCCAGGAAUAUACACUGCCUCUAAGAAGACAGAAGCGAUGUCAUUCAGGGGAGCAGCUAAGAGAAAGGCUGAAGGGAGGUAGGAAGGCCAAGACAGAACGCACGCGUUUGUGUGUGCAAGAGUUAGCGUGGGUUAACUGAACUCACUAACUGGUUAGUGGUGGCGAAAGUGCAGAUGCAAGCGACAUUCUAGUGACUUGAGAAGAACGUGGGAGAGCCCGGCCUCUCUAGGAGCGGGAGAAGGUGGUCCUGGUGCUCCUUUCCCCGAGGCCACAGGCCCCGGUCGCCGUGUGCACCAUCACGGGGUAAAGGGCGGAAACAGUGCGGAGGUGAAAGAAACGCCCGAGAGGGCAACCCUGGGAGCAUGAAGAGGCUGACGCGGAGCCCGGUGCCCGGAGGAAGGACAACACCAGCCAGGAGAGGACAGCGGGGGUGGCUAGGCGAAGGCGCCAGGGACGGCUCCUUACUGUGCCGGUGACCUCGCCGGAGCCAUGUCCGGGGAGAAGGGGCUAUUCUGGCUGUGAGGUGUGAGCAGGGCCGACAUGUAGGUGUGUUCAGAGGAACUGCAGAAGGAAAUGCCAUCGGUGGCAUUUGACAGUACUCCCACAGUGUGGCGUUGAGGGGCGAUUUGAAUGAGGUUCUGGACCACUCCAGGCCGCGUGGUAGUGCGCGCUGCAGCUGCACCGGGAACGUUGCUCCUACGUCGUCACAGCCCAUGCACAGACAGUGUCUUUUGGGCUGUGGUCUGCAGGAGGACAGCCCCCAGGCUCGUGUGUUUGAACACUCAGUGCCCAGGGUGAUGAGGCCCUCGCCGCCUUGCUUCGGGAAGCACAGAACGCGGCACGGGCUGAGUUUGAGGCUGCGUGGUCUGCCCUACCCCUGGCUGAAGCGUGAUCUCUCUGCUUCUUGACUGCCUGCCUCCAGCUCCCGCUGCUGAGGAGCAGGUCCUGUAGGAACGUGCUUCGUCUGUGAUUGACUGACUGGGCUUGAAGGAGGAGGACACGUGGGCCCGUUAGUCUGGAGGGGCUCUCACAGUGAGUGUCGGGUAGACAACAGGGGCGCUGUCCCCACCCGGUUGGCCCAGUUUCAGCAGCUCAGUGUCCUCUGUGCACGAACACGUGGCCCGUGUUGAGCACGGCUCGCCAGAUAAGAAGACAGAUGUAACCCACAGAGUGAGCUCCAACCAGCGCUCUGCAGGCCGUUAGUAGCUGGGAGGUGUGAGGGGCGCCUUCAGCUGAAAACCAAGAACCAGCCCACAUGGAAAUGGGCCCGAGAAGCCGCACAACCGGCCAGUAAGCCCGGACUGCAUUCAGCAGAGCUGGACAUUAGAAAAAUGCCAAUCGAAACCACAAUCAUACACACUGCAAAGGCUGUUAUGAAAAGGAGGACAGAGGAAGAUUACAGGUAUUGGUGAGAAGUGGAGAGACAGGAGCCUGGAUUCAUUGCUGAUAGGGGUGGAAGUCCCCACAGCUGCCAUAGGACACAGCAGUCAGUUGCUCAAAAGUUAAAUAUCACGCAGUUGGAGAGAUCACUUCACAGAGGACCUGGGUUCAAUUCCUAGUACCUCCAUAGCAGCUCACAACCAUCAGUGACUCCAGUCCUAGGGAACCCUGAUGCUUUCUUCUGGCCUUCUCAAGGGCCAGACAUAUAUAUAGCCCACACACAGACAUAUAGGCAACCCCUUAAAAGUUAAAUAAAAAAGCGCCAGGCAGAGCCCCUGGUCCAGCAACCAUGCUUUGGGAUCGAAACUCAACAGAAUGGGAAGCAAGGGCUCAGAUGGCUAUUGUGUGAGCCUUCCCAGCAGCCGUCUUCACAGAGACUAAGGCGGAAAUAACCGUCUCCUGUCAGUUCUGGAAUGGAUGAGCAGAAAGAGAAAGAGGGAAUUCACUCUCAGAAGAAGGCAAUUCUUCCAUAGCUACACUGUGAAUGACCUUGACGACACCAUUCUGAGUGACAGAAGACAGCUGCCAAAUCAUAAUAAUGUGACCGCAUGUCUGUGAGGAAAUAUGGAGAGACAGAGGGUAGGAAAGUACAUAGCAGGGACUGGAAUUGUUUGUUUGGGAUGAUAAGAAGCUUCAGGAAAGGCCAGCAAGGGUGAUUCCAGAAUGUGACACUUCACUCAGUGCCCCAGAAGUGUGUUUACGAUGGCUAAAGUGUUAAAUUUGACAGUGAGUAUUUUUAUCACAAUAUGACUCUGUAAAUGGUCCCUGUGCUAUGGAGAGCCCCUGGAGCGCCCAAAGAUACAGCUCCCCUCAGCUGUUUUGCUGCAGCCCUUUACCCCCAAAUAAAACAGUAAAUGUCAGAAACCGCAGAAGACCGUAGUUAGACGGAAAGAGGUCAAAGUGCAGUGUUUGCCCUUCCUCUUCCCUUCUUCCCCCUCCUUUCCUUUGCUUCUUCCUUUCUUCCCUCUUUACUUCCUCCUACCCUCUUUCCUUUUUUCCCUCCCUCUUUUCCUGUUCCUUCUUCCUCUAUUUUCUAUAAACCUUGCAAAAUGUAAAACCAUAGGAACUGUCAAGCCCUGGAUUACAGAUGCUGGAAGACAUGAAGGAAGGAAGAAGCUGCCAGUGAGAAGAGGUGGCCGUGAUCUGGGGCUGAAGAAAAGGUAUAAGCAGCAGAACUUGGGGACCACUGAGUGUGUGUUGAGGGGGGUCAUUACAGACAUGGGAGAGGUGGGGCUGGUUCAGUUUGGCACAUCUGAAGACAUCCUGGUGCCCUGUCUGGAGAGGACACAGGGUGAAGGCAGGCCCUAGAUCCAGGAGUUAUCCCCUAGUGUGAGUAGAGAGCUGUGAUUACUGGUGUGGAUGCUUCGCUGUGGGGAAGGGUCUGCCCAAGUGAGCAGAGGAUGAAUUAGAGAUCGGAGAGUGAGAAGAACAGCAAGACACAGAACCUGGAAAACAACACUAAGACGCCAGAGGCCAGGGAGAAGCCAGAGAGAGGGCCGAGCAGCGGCCGGGGCAUGCUAGAGGUGGAAGGGCCAUGCAGGAAGCCGGAUGGGUAAAAAGGCCAGGACCAUCUUCAGGGCUUUCAUCCGCACAUGCCGGGGACAGUGGUGGCCCACUUGGACUGAGCAGAGACUCUCCCUUCUUUAAAUGUCACAGAAAAUUCUAGACAGAUCAAGGAUUUGAAUGCAAAAUAUAAAACUACAGCAGUAAGUGAGGAAGAUGCUAUUUUUAAAAGUAGCACUAAGAGUUGAGAAGGCCCCUUUUAAAUCCACAUUAGGAAUCUAGGAGAUACACUAAAAGACCGAUAUUUUUGACAACAUAAAAAUUUAAAUGUCUAUUAAAAAAUAUAAGAGGGCAAAUCAGAAAAAAAUAUCCUCAAAACACAGCCUGCAUGCCCCCACUUUCGAGAGCACAGACAAUUGGCUAUAACAGUGGCAACAGAGAGCCGGUACUGUGUUUCUCAGAGAAGAAAAUACUGAGCCAGAAAGCUCAGGCAUCCUGGUCAACGACAGCGAAGCAAAAGCAAUGCAAAUAAAACUACUUAAAAACCCUGAGGAAGCCAAGAUUAACAAUAGAGACAUGCUAACCCACUUGUCCUUCAAUAGCCCUUACCAAACACCGUCGCAGAUGACAUCCACGGACUAGUAUGUGGUUGUAACUCAAGGCGAUGCCAAUGAUCAUCUUUCCAAGGUGGCUGGCUUUGGGGUCAUGACCUCUGCCUCCCAGAACUCUGUCACCACUCCUUCAUCUUGCUUUUCCAUGGUUCUCAUCCCGCAUGGGACACAUGACCCUCUGGCCCUGGCAAGAGGACCUCGUCCACACAGCAGGCCCUAGUCCGAUGCCUGAACAAGGAGGCGUGUGGCCAACGGUCCACACCACAGUGAUGAGGGAAGGCAAACUCAGAAGCAUGCGCCCCCUGCACAUGUUGCCUUCUUACGAUAGCAUGUGCGUGUCUGUGGAUGUGUGUUGUAUGCACAUAGAAAACGUUCUCCAGACUAUGAACUUUGAUCCAUUUCUGAGCUGCAAGUUUGUGUGGGUGUUGUUACUUUUCUUUCAAUUUUUCUAUAUUUAAAUCUUCCCCUUAAUAUGUUUCUUUCACUUAAAAAUAUCAGUGGGAAGCAUCAUGUUUUUUCUUUCUUUCUGAUUUUACCAUCCCAAAUACGUGUGUAUAAGACAUCAAGA